UCUCCGUAGGUGAACCUGCGGAGGGAUCAUUAACGAGUGAGGGUCGUCCAGGCCCGACCUCCCAACCCUUUGUUUACCGAACCUCUGUUGCUUCGGCGGACCCGCCUCACGGCCGCCGGAGGACCGUCGCGAGACGUCCUCUGGCCCGCGUCCGCCGACGGCCAACCUCUCAAAACCCUGAACCAACCGUGUCGUGUGUCUCAGUUUAUGAUUAAAUUAAAGCAAAACUUUCAACAACGGAUCUCUUGGUUCUG
rnacentral:misc_RNA from 1 species